rnacentral:sRNA from 1 species
AUUCUUUAUAAGAGCUUUGAUACAUGCAAAAUAUUCGAAAACAAUGUCCGAACAUAUAAUUUCCCCCCCGUAAUAUAGCAAAGAUCACGAAAAGGCCCAAAAAAGUACAUUAAGUUUAAAAUUUGGAGUAGAAAAAAAACCAAUAGAAAAAUUCCAUUUUCCUUCCUCAGUCAUCGAAGAGCUCUCUUUGGGCUUUCUGAAAAGGUAUCACAUGCCAAGUUUGGCCUCACGGUCUAAAAGUUAUAGAGUCAUACAUUUUUAACAAAACAAAAAGAGAAAAACCGAAAAAAACAGGGAUGCAACACGAGGACUUUCCUGGAGGUCUCCCAUCCUAGUACUACUCUCGCCCAAGCACCCUUAACUGCGUAGUUCUGAUGGGAUCCGAUGCAUUAGUGCUGGUAUGAUCGCAUCUGUUACUACAUGCAAUGUAAUCGUAUCUAUUCUUUUUUAAAGAC